GGCCCGGUAGCUCAGUCGGUAGAGCAGAGGAUUGAAAAUCCUUGUGACGGUGGUUCGAUUCCGCCCCAGGCCACCA
rnacentral:tRNA from 1 species